rnacentral:rRNA from 1 species
AUAUCAAUAAGCGGAGGAAAAGAAACCAACAGGGAUUGCCCCAGUAACGGCGAGUGAAGCGGCAAAAGCUCAAAUUUGAAAUCCUCAGGGAAUUGUAAUUUGAAGAUGUUUGGGUCAAGGCUAGCAGAGGUUAAGUCCACUGGAACGUGGCGCCACAGAGGGUGACAGCCCCGUGAACCUCCUAAAGCCCCUUAUCCCUCUCAUCCAAGAGUCGAGUUGUUUGGGAAUGCAGCUCUAAGUGGGUGGUAAAUUCCAUCUAAAGCUAAAUACCGGCGAGAGACCGAUAGCGAACAAGUACAGUGAUGGAAAGAUGAAAAGCACUUUGAAAAGAGAGUGAAAAAGUACGUGAAAUUGUUGAAAGGGAAGGGCUUGCAAGCAGACACUUAAUUGGGCCAGCAUCGGGGCGGCAGGGAGAAAACCUCCCGGGAAAUGUACCUCUCGAGUGUUAUAGUCCCGGGCAUCCUCUCCCAUUCUGCCCCGAGGCCUGCGUAUCUAGGAUGCUGGCGUAAUGGUUGC